rnacentral:rRNA from 1 species
CCUACGGGGGGCAGCAGUGGGGGAUAUUGCACAAUGGAGGAAACUCUGAUGCAGCGACGCCGCGUGAGGGAAGACGGUCCUCGGAUUGUAAACCUCUGUUUUUGGGGAAGAAAAUGACGGUACCCAAAGAGGAUGCUCCGGCAAACUACGUGCCAGCAGCCACGGUAAUAGGUGGGGAGCGAGCGUUGUCCGGAAUUACUGGGUGUAAAGGGAGCGUAGGCGGGCGAGAAAGUUGAAUGUUAAAUCUACCGGCUAAACUUGUAGCUGCGUUCGACACUUCUUGUCUUGAGUGAAGUAGAGGCAGGCGGAAUUCCUAGUGUAGCGGUGAAAUGCGUAGAUAUUAGGAGGAACACCAGUGGCGAAGGCGGCCUGCUGGACUUUAACUGACGCUGAGGCUCGAAAGCGUGGGGAGCAAACAGGAUUAGAUACCCGUGUAGUC